rnacentral:rRNA from 1 species
UCAGGAUGAACGCUGGCGGCGUGCCUAACACAUGCAAGUCGAACGGAAACUAGGCGCUUCGGAGACUUCGGUCAAUGUUUGCUAGUUUAGUGGCGGACGGGUGAGUAACGCGUGGAUAACCUGCCAUAUACAGGGGGAUAACAGUUAGAAAUGACUGCUAAUACCGCAUAAGCGCACAGUCUCGCAUGGGACAGUGUGAAAAAACUCCGGUGGUAUAUGAUGGAUCCGCGUCUGAUUAGCCAGUUGGCGGGGUAACGGCCCACCAAAGCGACGAUCAGUAGCCGGCCUGAGAGGGUGAACGGCCACAUUGGGACUGAGACACGGCCCAAACUCCUACGGGAGGCAGCAGUGGGGGAUAUUGCACAAUGGGGGAAACCCUGAUGCAAGCGACGCCGCGUGAGUGAAGAAGUAUUUCGGUAUGUAAAGCUCUAUCAGCAGGGAAGAUAAUGACGGUACCUGACUAAGAAGCACCGGCUAAAUACGUGCCAGCAGCCGC